GACGAACGCUGGCGGCGUGCUUAACACAUGCAAGUCGAACGGUAAGGCCCUUCGGGGUACACGAGUGGCGAACGGGUGAGUAACACGUGGGUGGUCUGCCCUGCACUUCGGGAUAAGCCUGGGAAGCUGGGUCUAAUACCGGAUAGGACCACUGCCUGCAUGGGUGGUGGUGGAAAGCUUUUGCGGUGUGGGAUGGGCCCGCGGCCUAACUGCUUGUUGGUGGGGUGAUGGCCUACCAAGGCGACGACGGGUAGCCGGCCUGAGAGGGUGACCGGCCACACUGGGACUGAGAUACGGCCCAGACUCCUACGGGAGGCAGCAGUGGGGAAUAUUGCACAAUGGGCGCAAGCCUGAUGCAGCGACGCCGCGUGAGGGAUGACGGCCUUCGGGUUGUAAACCUCUUUCAGCACCGACGAAGCGCAAGUGACGGUAGGUGCAGAAGAAGGACCGGCCAACUACGUGCAGCCGCCGCAGUAA
rnacentral:rRNA from 1 species